rnacentral:rRNA from 1 species
UACAGAGGGUGCGAGCGUUAAUCGGAAUUACUGGGCGUAAAGCGCGCGUAGGCGGCUUUGCAAGUCGAGUGUGAAAUCCCCAGGCUUAACCUGGGAACUGCAUUCGAGACUGCAUAGCUAGAGUAUGGGAGAGGGAAGUGGAAUUACAGGUGUAGCGGUGAAAUGCGUAGAUAUCUGAAGGAACAUCAGUGGCGAAAGCGACUUCCUGGACCAAUACUGACGCUCAUGUGCGAAAGCGUGGGGAGCAAACAGG